rnacentral:rRNA from 1 species
UACAGAGGGGGCAAGCGUUGUUCGGAAUUACUGGGCGUAAAGGGCGCGUAGGCGGCCUUCUAAGUCGAACGUGAAAUCCCCGGGCUCAACCCGGGAACUGCGUCCGAUACUGGAAGGCUUGAAUCCGGGAGAGGGAUGCGGAAUUCCAGGUGUAGCGGUGAAAUGCGUAGAUAUCUGGAGGAACACCGGUGGCGAAGGCGGCAUCCUGGACCAAUUCUGACACUGAGGAGCGAAAGCCAGGGGAGCAAACGGG